rnacentral:lncRNA from 10 species
GAGAUGGAGUCUCGCUCUGUCGCCCAGGCUGCAGUGCAGUGGCGCGAUCUCAGCUUACUGCAAGCUCUGCCUCCCGGGUUCAUGCCAUUCUCCUGCCUCAGCCUCCCGAGUAGCUAUAGGCAUGAGCCACCGCACCCGGCUGUAACUUAGCUUUUUAAGAUUUCAGCCUAUUUGCUGAAUUUCUAAAGAUUUACACAUUUUUCGUAAAGGUCAGAAAACUGUAUGGUUUUCAGUUGUGUUUUGUUGUUGUUGUUGUUUUGAGACUGGAUCUUGCUCUGUGUCCCAGACUGGAGUACAGUUAUAGCUCACUGCAGCCUUGAACCGAACCCCUGGGCUCAAGCAGUUCUCCUGCCUCAGUCUCCAAUGUAGCUGGGACUACAGGCAUGUGCCACCACAACCAGUUAAUUUAUUUAAUAAUUUUUUUGUAGAGAUGGAGUUUCACUAUGUUGACCAGGCUGAUUUGUACAUAUUGUCCAAAUUCUAUUAGGUUGGACUUUUUUUAGAAUAAGUUACAUAAAAAUGAGCUAUGUUGGUAUUAGUUUUAAUGAAGUCUGACCUGUAUCAGGGCUGUUGGAACAUAAUUAGUAAAGUGGCAUUAGGUUCCCUAACUGCCAAGGAGAAAAAACCUGAGUUUUGUGAUAUUUUUAGGAAGAAAUAAUUUAAAGUCUUUGUUGACUCUCCAAUUUUAAAUAGUGAAAGGACAAUUUGAUGUUAUAAUUGUUUUAAGUCACUGCCUGGACAAAUAUAAUUUCAUGUUAUUAAGUAGUUUUAGGUACAGCAUUGGUAUUUGCUUUUGCAAAGAUGUUAAUGAAUUCCUGGGAUCAAGGGAAUCUGAGAUCAAACAAACCUACAGAGACUAAAUAACAUACUUAUUUGACUUAUUGUAUAUUAAUUAAAUUGUUAGUAGGCCUGUUUCAUAAUAGUUCAAAACCCAAGUUUUUGUUUUGUUUUGUAGAUGAUUCGAAAAGGUGUGUUCAAAGAUCAGCAUUUUGAUCAAAAUCUCAACUUCAUGUACAUAGAAGUUGAUAAAGUAACAGAGAGGGUAAGUGUUUUAAAUGCAGCAUGCAAUAGUUAUUUUAUUGUUAACUGAGUACUAAAUCAUACGAGCUGGUGAAUUAAAAAAAAAACAAAAA